GUGGGGAAUAUUGGACAAUGGGGGGAACCCUGAUCCAGCCAUGCCGCGUGUGUGAAGAAGGCCUUUUGGUUGUAAAGCACUUUAAGCGAGGAGGAGGCUACCGAGAUUAAUACUCUUGGAUAGUGGACGUUACUCGCAGAAUAAGCACCGGCUAACUUCGUGCCAGCAGCCGCGGUAAUACGAAGGGUGCAAGCGUUAAUCGGAAUUACUGGGCGUAAAGCGCGCGUAGGUGGCCAAUUAAGUCAAAUGUGAAAUCCCCGAACUUAACUUGGGAAUUGCAUUCGAUACUGGUUGGCUAGAGUAUGGGAGAGGAUGGUAGAAUUCCAGGUGUAGCGGUGAAAUGCGUAGAGAUCUGGAGGAAUACCGAUAGCGAAGGCAGCCAUCUGGCCUAAUACUGACACUGAGGUGCGAAAGCAUGGGGAGCAAACAGGAUUAGAUACCCUUGUAGUCC
rnacentral:rRNA from 1 species